rfam:Pseudomonas knackmussii B13 complete genome
CGGGGCGUAGCGCAGCCUGGUAGCGCACUUGCAUGGGGUGCAAGGGGUCGAGUGUUCGAAUCACUCCGUCCCGA